UACGGGGGGGGCAAGCGUUGUUCGGAAUUACUGGGCUUAAAGGGUGCGUAGGCGGCGCGGAAAGUUGGGUGUGAAAUCCCUCGGCUCAACCGAGGAACUGCGCCCAAAACUACCGUGCUCGAGGAAGAUAGAGGUGAGCGGAACUCACGGUGGAGCGGUGAAAUGCGUUGAUAUCGUGAGGAACACCCGUGGCGAAAGCGGCUCACUGGGUCUUCUCUGACGCUGAUGCACGAAAGCUAGGGGAGCAAACGGG
rnacentral:rRNA from 1 species